UACGUAGGGUGCAAGCGUUAAUCGGAAUUACUGGGCGUAAAGCGUGCGCAGGCGGUGAUGUAAGUCAGUUGUGAAAUCCCCGGGCUCAACCUGGGAACUGCAUCUGUGACUGCAUUGCUGGAGUGCGGCAGAGGGGGAUGGAAUUCCGCGUGUAGCAGUGAAAUGCGUAGAUAUCGGGAGGAACACCAGUGGCGAAGGCGGCUACCUGGCCCAUUCUUGACGCUGAGGCGCGAAAGCUAGGGGAGCAAACGGG
rnacentral:rRNA from 1 species